GAGGGUAGCACUCAGUGGUACAGUGUGUGCUUAGCAUGCAUGUGGUCCUGGGUUCAAUCCCCAGUAUCUCCA
rfam:Camelus ferus unplaced genomic scaffold scaffold2735, whole genome shotgun sequence.